GCACAUUUGAACAAUGGUUCAAUGCUCCAUUUGCCAUGACUGGUGAAAGGCAUGUUUACCAGGCUACCAGAAAAGGGUCCCAACCGGUGGAAUGCUUAAC
rnacentral:sRNA from 2 species